rnacentral:rRNA from 1 species
UGGAUGAUGUUGGUUUAAUUCGAAGAUACACGAAGAACCUUACCUGGCCUUGACAUGGUAGGAACCCUUAAGAGAUUAGGGGGUGCUAGCUUGCUAGAACCUACACACAGGUGCUGCACGGCUGUCGUCAGCUCGUGUCGUGAGAUGUUGGGUUAAGUCCCGCAACGAGCGCAACCCUCGUCCUUAGUUGCUAACAGUUCGGCUGAGCACUCUAGGGAGACUGCCUUCGCAAGGAGGAGGAAGGUGAGGACGACGUCAAGUCAUCAUGGCCCUUACGGCCAGGGCUACACACGUGCUACAAUGGGGCGUACAGAGAGCUGCGAUACCGCGAGGUGGAGCCAAUCUCUUAAAGCGUCUCUCAGUUCGGAUUGUUCUCUGCAACUCGAGAACAUGAAGCUGGAAUCACUAGUAAUCGCAGAUCAGCUAUGCUGCGGUGAAUACGUUCCCGGGUCUU